rnacentral:lncRNA from 1 species
GAGAGGACGGGGAUGCCCUAGAUGUGAUAACGGGUAUGUUCCUUAUAUACGAGUUACCUUACACAGCCUUGAUUGAUAUUGGAUCGACACAUUCAUAUGUUGCAUGCAAUAAGACUGAGUCUUUGGGUGAUAUGGUUGAGAUUAUUGCGAAUGAGAUGACUGUGAUAAGUCCGUUAGGGUAGUCUGUAGGAGUGAAUAAGUUGUUUAGGGAGGUACCCUUAGUAGUCUAAUAGGUUACCUUUUUAACGGAUUUGAUAGAGUUGCCG